UUUUUAGAAGUUCCUGCACUGCUGCAUUUACAUAUAUAUCAAGGUUCAAAAUUUGCAUAUAUAUCAAUGUUCUCAAAAUUUACAUAUAUAUCAAUGUUUAAAAUUACUUACGGUUGUUUAUUUAUGAACAUUGCAAGCACCACCAUGUCAGGUUAGCUGCUAUAUGGUCGCAUUCGUCGCUUUGUUUCCUCAUCCAUGUUUAAUAGCUUAAACUUGUUUUCUAUAAAUAGGCUAUAUUGACACCAUUGUGUUAUAAUGUGUUAUAAAAGAAUGAGAAAUUGUGCAUUCCUAAAGUUCUCUUUGGAGGAAAGCACUGUUCUAACUGGCUGGAUGGCUUGUAAUUGUAUACAGAGAUGACAUUUUUGUCAUCCACUGAGGAGAGACUUUGACUUCACAGUGCAGAUAAAACCAUCACAACUGGAUUUACUUCUCUGGGUCAUCUUCUUACAAUUGCUUGCUGCAAACGUUUGAAUUUGUGUUUUUAUUUAUUUAUUUAUUUUGGUGUUUCUAAGCUUUACAUAUAUUUUAGUGGAUGAAGUUAACAAAAUAUGUGGAGAUUGUAAUAGUGUGAUGUGGUGAAGAGAACCCACGUGAACAGGCAUACAUAUUUACAAUAUCCAUCAGCAGCACCACAAACAUGUGCAUCAUUCGACGACGAAUCUAAGAAUGCGGUGGUGGAGAAUUAAUUUUUUAAGUUGUCCAAGUGUUUACCAAGUGAAUGAGUUGAGUAUCAUGCAGUGAAGAGCAAGGAGGAAGGAUCCAAUGUUAUAUCUUUGGGGGGAAAGUGUGGUGAAGGUUCCACGAGUUUAGGUAUUAGCAGGGCCUAAAAAUGAAUUUAUGAACUAUGAUGUUUUGGACCAUGUUCACAUUUUUUUGGACUUUGUCUCAACAGAUAGCUAAUCUUAUUCUUUUUGGUAAACCAUGAACUCAGUCAACUUAUUGUUGGCCAAAAGUAAGUUAUACUUAGGUUGCAGGGACUACCCACUAAUUUGAAUGAGUCUAGGGACAAGACUUUCUGGCUGAGCCUGAUUUAUCCGGGACCAUCAAUUAUAUAACCUCUGGAAGAAGCCUGUGGGUUUUGGGAUUAUCCAGGUUACUUGAAAUGCUUACAUGAGAACCUAAUGAUUUUCUUUUCUUCCUAGUAUACUUGCAUCUCUUAUGGAAAUUUGUGAUGAUGCUCGAAAAGUCAGAAUUUAGUUUUAUGACGAGGGAAACUAUGAUCGGAAAAUCAUGGAGAAUACUCUAAAUUAUUCAUAAAAUUCUUCAAAAAAAAAUCCCAAAGGGUCA